AUGAGUACAGGGAGUACCUGACCAGGAUCAAGUUGCAAUCAGAUAAGAUCUCGGGGCAGAAAAAGGCCAAAUUAAAGGAUGGUCCCAAACUGCCAGGAACCACUGACACUUCCCACCAGGCAGAGAGGUGGCCGCAGUCUCGGAAAUCUUCUUUCACAUGUCUACAAAAGAGCA